rnacentral:misc_RNA from 1 species
ACACUUGCCGAAGCCUUAGCAACCCGAAAGGGUGCAGCCCGCCGACUAUAAAUAUAAGAGACUGCUUAAAUGCUAGUCCAUCGCUUAGAGCGAUGGGCGACACUAUCAAAUUGCGGGAACGCCUUAAAGACCUCAACACCAAGCGCUUGCUGGAAACAGCAGCGUGGCCGAGCUAAUAGCCCUGGGUAUGGUAACAGCUUGAGGUAUGAAACCCUUCGGGGUGGAAAUGGGUAAUCCGCAGCCAAGUCCUAAAGCCUUGCAAAAAGGUCACGGAUGCUGUUCACAGGCCAAAUGGUAGUGGGUGGUUGCGCAUGCAACUGCUUAAGAUAUGGUCGGGCCUCCUGGGAAACACGGGGGGUAAGCUCAUGCGAGAAAAUAUUUAAUUAUUUUCUCAAGUAACAAACUGUUCCGUAGGUGAACCUGCGGAAGGAUCAUUACUGAAUUAUCUAUUCAAUUUAUAAACUCUUUCGAGACUCGAUAUACAAAAUGUCUGAAUGAAAAUAAUUUAAUUAUUAAAACUUUUAACAACGGAUCUCUUGGUUCUCGCAUCGAUGAAGAACGCAGCAAAAUGCGAUAAGUAUUGUGAAUUGCAGGAUUUUGUGAAUCAUCGAAUUUUUGAACGCACAUUGCGCCCUCUGGUAUUCCGGAGGGCAUACCUGUUUGAGCGUCAUUUUUCUCUCUCUAUCUCUAGAGGUUAUGGACUAUAUACAUUAUGUAUUCGUCUGAAAAAUAGUGGUGGCUAUGCAUUGUAUGCCUACAAACUAAUGUUGUAAAAAUUCGUUAGGAAAUAGGUAAUUGAUGCAAAAUACACCUUAAACUAUUAUUUAUUUUGACCUCAAAUCAG